rnacentral:rRNA from 1 species
AGCAGCCGCGGUAAUUCCAGCUCCAAUAGCGUAUAUUAAAGUUGUUGCAGUUAAAAAGCUCGUAGUUGAAUUUCGGGGUCAGCAGGUUGGUCGUGCCUAUGGUAUGCACUGGCCUUGCUGAUUCCUCCCUCUUGAUGAGCCGUAAUGUCAUUAAUUUGGUGUUGCGGGGAAUCAGGACUGUUACUUUGAAAAAAUUAGAGUGUUUAAAGCAGGCAAGCGCUUGAAUACAUUAGCAUGGAAUAAUGAAAUAGGACGUUUGAUCCUAUUUUGUUGGUUUCUAGGAUUGACGUAAUGAUUAAUAGGGAUAGUUGGGGGCAUUAGUAUUCAAUUGUCAGAGGUGAAAUUCUUGGAUUUAUUGAAGACUAACUACUGCGAAAGCAUUUGCCAAGGAUGUUUUCAUUAAUCAAGAACGAAAGUUAGGGGAUCGAAGACGAUCAGAUACCGUCGUAGUCUUAACCAUAAACUAUGCCGACUAGGAUCGGAUGAUGUUAAUUUUUUAAUGACUCA